UACGUAGGGGGCAAGCGUUGUCCGGAUUUAUUGGGCGUAAAGAGCUCGUAGGCGGUUUGGUAAGUCAGGUGUGAAAUCUCCACGCUCAACGUGGAGGGGCCACCUGAUACUGCCAUGACUGGAGUCCGGUAGAGGAGUGUGGAAUUCCCGGUGUAGCGGUGAAAUGCGCAGAUAUCAGGAGGAACACCAAUGGCGAAGGCAGCUCGCUGGAACGGUACUGACGCUGAGGCGCGAAAGCGUGGGGAGCGAACAGG
rnacentral:rRNA from 1 species